GUCAGGAUGGCCGAGAGGUCCAAAGCGCUGCGUUUAAGUCGCACUCCACUCUCUGGGCAUAGGUUCGAAUCCUACCCUUGACA
rnacentral:tRNA from 1 species